ACUGACGGCCGCCGGCGCACUGCCGGCCCCGAGCCUGGGAGGGCGGGGAGACAAUGCCCGCCCGGCGGGGUAGUCCAGGCCGCACGCCCCCGCCCGCCGGACACGGGCUGCUCCUCCCCGGCCGAAGGGCAACGGCGGAAAGGCGCCGGGAGCGAUUGCCAGAUCGCGCGCGGGGCCCCGCGCGCCCCGUCCCCCGCCCACCUCCGCGUGUACUUCACCCAACAAGUCCCGGGGGCGCAGACCCACCUCCUCCUCCAGGGUGCCGCUGGAGCCCGAGCCCGUGCCGGUGCCCGUGCUGGUGCCGUGCUCGCCGUCCGGCUUCAGAUCAAAGGUUCGGGUCCACGUUCUCCUGGUCUGAGGCUGCCUCAUCGUCAUCUGGGGACUCCUAUAUCAGAGCCAGAGAAACCCAGUCACAGGCUUGUGCCACCCCCGAGUCAUAGCCUGGGGGCCAGCAUCUCCUUCCUCUUGCCCCUGCUGCCAACGGAGCCAGAGGAGGCUCUGCCACCCCCUCCCCAUGGUCCUUUGGCCUUCCCUCUGUCCUAGCUCCCAGGCUGCCCAUGGCCACAUGGCCCACCAUUGGGUGACUCCCUCUUACCAGGCUGAGGCCCCUGUCCUGCCGCAGGGUAGCAUAGAAGCUCAGCACACGGGGGUCACAGCGAACCACCAUGGGGUCAAAGUCCAACACACACAGGCCCUGCAGGCUGCGGGCCCGGGAAAGGGCCACAUAGGCCUGGCCGCUGGCAAACACACGGCCCAGAGAGAUCUCCACGCAAUCCAGGGACAUGCCCUGGGGGAUAGAGGGACAGGGCUGGAGCCAGCUCAGCCUGAAUUCACCUGUGCCCAAGAACCUGACCCCACCUCCACCAGCCCAGCUAUUGCCCCUGAUCUCCUUGCCCAGUCCAGAGAUUCUGAGUCAGAGAGAGACAGGAUGAUGGGUGUCUGAGUAGGGAGGUGUCCAGGAAAUACAGAUCCAAGAUAAGAGUAGAGGGAUAAGGGUGAAAGGAAAGAGCUCAGGUCUGGGUCAGACAGUCAUGGAAAUGAAUCUUGGCUCCGCAGGGCACUAGCUGUGUGACCUUGGACAAGUUACUUAACCUCUCUGAGCCUUCUUUUCCUCUUCUGUAAAACAGGAAUGAUUAUUACAACUAUACCUCCUACAGUUGUCGUAAUAUGUUAAAAUUAAUAUAUCCAAUGGUGGCUCAGAAAAUGGCAGGGCCCGAGAUGACAGAGGGGAAGUGUAUGUGUCCAGGAAAGAGAGAGGAAGUGGGAUGGGAAAUGCACUAAAGAAAGGUUUAUUCUACAGCUGGUCUGGAACUUUCCAUCCAGGGCAAGUUCAACCCUCACAAAGCCUCUAAGACCCCCCACCCUUCAACAUGCCCCAGGCCUAUCCUGCCCCCAUCCCCACACUCACCUGGCUCUUGUGGAUGGAUAUGGCCCAGGCCAGCUGGAGGGGCAGCUGCUGCCGGCUGAGAAGCCGGCCCCCAGUGGCCUGCACCAUCCAGCGGUCAGCACGGAUGACCUCGGUGACUCCACACAGGAACCGCACCUGGGGCAGCCCUGAGGGAGGCGUGGAGAAGUCCCACCUUUCAGUCCCGCUUCAGGGCUCCGAGGUGCCCUUUGGAACCUGAGAAAAGGAUCCCACCCUCGCCAUUGUGGAAGGAAGGAGGAGGCUCACAGUGGAGGGUACACUACAGAAGACAACUGAGUGCGUAAUUCCCAGAGCGGCGGAUGGGCAGCGUCAAGUGCACCCAGGGUUGGGGAACCUCGGCUGUCCGACAAGGGCCACAGAAGAAGGGAUCCCCUGAGCAGAAAAGAAGCCUGCUUCCAAGAGACCCAGGGCGGGCACGAGAAUCCUGAGUCUUCUCCCCAGGAAGCAGGGGACUCUCACGUGUGGAGGUAAGCAGGGUACUGAGCUCCGUACUCAGGGCACUCAGCAGGUAAUCAGCGCCUUCUGUCUUCCAGGUACGUUCACUGGCUUAUACGCAGCCAAGCAGGUCUCACUAUUCCCCGUGUACAGAAGUGGAAAACAGGCUGAGAGAGGCCACAACGGCUAGUAGGAGUCAGGGCUUGUGUGAUUCUGAAGCCCCGGCGCUUCCCAUCUCCAAGGUGGGAUGGGGUAGAAAAUAUUUGGCUAGGGAAAUCGCGGAGGACCCUGGCGUCCGGGUUUCCGUUCACCCUCCGUCUGACCCACUUGUACGCACCCUCCCGGUAGGGACCCCUUGAAGAAGCAGGCGCUCUGCCUCCCACCUUUAGGAUCGGGUGAACACUCACUUGCGCCAGCACUCGGACGAACAAGCUGAGCAAAGUCGGCAUGCAGUCAAAAGUAGGACACUAGAAACUUUCAAAUACUGGGUGUAGAGAAUCACCCUAUCACCGGCCGGAUCUUUAAAUUUUCCAGCCAAUCAGAGACAGCGGGCGUGCCAACGGGAGUGUCUUUCUUUGGGUUUCAACUCUCGGGGCUUGGGCUGUACCAAUAGCACCCCGGAGGAAGGAGGCUUAUUGUGGUGGCGGAGCAUACCAAGUCGCGGACUAGUGGGUGUGGUGGGAGGGGGCGGGGACUGCAACUGGGCCGCGCGUGGUGUUGUGUCACCAAUCGCGUCUCUGAAGGUUUAUUUUCAGAACCUUGCCUCCAACACACACUCCCUCCUCUCUAGCCCUCGCACUAAGGCUGAACUUGGCCUUGAGGAAGAGCUGCCUCUGAUCCCUCUCUGUUUACACUCACAGGACCUUUGCCCAUUUCUGGGCAGACCCCCCAACCCUCGCGCGCGCACACACACACACACACACACACACCCCACGGCCUACUGCUCUCGCUGCCCACCCCGCCCCCCACCAGCUCUUUCCACACUUAUCUAUCUCUGUAACCAUCAUUUUACGCAUUUGUCUUUCCCAUGCGUCUGAGACCCAUGAGUGAGGAACUCUUGAGACCUGUGGCCAGGUGUUCAGAGUACAAGGGAAGUGUGUGGGCCUCUGUCUUCAGGGAAUUCGCAUCCCUCUCAUUGAACUGAAUGCUUAGGGAAUUCAUUUUUAAUUAUCUUUUUCCUCCCUCAUUAAAUCUUGGAAUGACAUAGCUAGAAGGCAUCUUACACGUGAGUCAGCCUGGUCAUUUAUUGAAUUGCCCCAUUUUUCUUUUUUUUUUUUAAUAAGGGAUUUUAAUGGUUCUUUUUUUUUUUAAUAGAGUUUUUAUUUAUUUAUUUAUUUAUUUAUUUAUUUAUUUAUUUAUUUUUGGCUGUGUUGGG